UGGGGAAUAUUGCACAAUGGGCGCAAGCCUGAUGCAGCCAUGCCGCGUGUGUGAAGAAGGCCUUCGGGUUGUAAAGCACUUUCAGCGAGGAGGAAGGUGGUGAACUUAAUACGUUCAUCAAUUGACGUUACUCGCAGAAGAAGCACCGGCUAACUCCGUGCCAGCAGCCGCGGUAAUACGGAGGGUGCAAGCGUUAAUCGGAAUUACUGGGCGUAAAGCGCACGCAGGCGGUUUGUUAAGUCAGAUGUGAAAUCCCCGGGCUCAACCUGGGAACUGCAUUUGAAACUGGCAAGCUAGAGUCUCGUAGAGGGGGGUAGAAUUCCAGGUGUAGCGGUGAAAUGCGUAGAGAUCUGGAGGAAUACCGGUGGCGAAGGCGGCCCCCUGGACGAAGACUGACGCUCAGGUGCGAAAGCGUGGGGCAGCAAACAGGAUUAGAUACCCUGGUAGUCCACGCUGUAAACGAUGUCGAUUUGGGGAGGUUGUGCCCUUGAGGCGUGGGCUUCCGGAGCUAACGCGUUAAAUCGACCGCCUGGGGAGUACGGCC
rnacentral:rRNA from 1 species